GAUGCCAAGAUGGUUAGCUUCACUACCCAGGGACA
rnacentral:tRNA from 1 species